rnacentral:rRNA from 1 species
GCAAGUCGAGCGGACACUUGGAGCUUGCUCCAGCGUUUAGCGGCGGACGGGUGAGUAACACGUGGGCAACCUGCCCUGCAGAUCGGGAUAACUCCGGGAAACCGGUGCUAAUACCGAAUAGUUUGAAGCCUCACCUGAGGCUUCACGGAAAGACGGUUUCGGCUGUCACUGCAGGAUGGGCCCGCGGCGCAUUAGCUAGUUGGUGGGGUAACGGCCCACCAAGGCCACGAUGCGUAGCCGACCUGAGAGGGUGACCGGCCACACUGGGACUGAGACACGGCCCAGACUCCUACGGGAGGCAGCAGUAGGGAAUCUUCCGCAAUGGACGCAAGUCUGACGGAGCAACGCCGCGUGAGUGACGAAGGUUUUCGGAUCGUAAAACUCUGUUGUGAGGGAAGAACACGUACCAACUAACUAUUGGUACCUUGACGGUACCUCACCAGAAAGCCACGGCUAACUACGUGCCAGCAGCCGCGGUAAUACGUAGGUGGCAAGCGUUGUCCGGAAUUAUUGGGCGUAAAGCGCGCGCAGGCGGUUCCUUAAGUCUGAUGUGAAAGCCCACGGCUCAACCGUGGAGGGUCAUUGGAAACUGGGGAACUUGAGUGCAGAAGAGGAAAGUGGAAUUCCACGUGUAGCGGUGAAAUGCGUAGAGAUGUGGAGGAA